CACAGGCAUUGAACUAAAUGACUGUCAAGAACUGGACUCAAGGUGCUGGGGGGUCCUCCUGAUACUCCCGUUUGAAACCAGUGGAUGCAGUGUAGACCUCUUUCAACAGGACUCCACUCCAGCCUCGGCACGCAAGGGACUCAAUCCUGCAAAGCGCUGAACGCUGUGGUCUGUCUAGCAGAGCUAGUCCAGUGGCACCGAAAGGCUGCCCAACCGGGGCUGAGGUUCCAUCCCAUAGUGCUGAGAAAGCCUUCAAUAGCCAGUAAUUUACUUCAAUGCUGCUGCUACCACCAAUGAAGUGGAGUGCCAGAGCAACUAUAGCAAUUGGAGCUGGUGAGAAGGAGUUUUACAAACCUGCAUCAGGAUUUAUCUGCUGACUGGAAGAGGAAAACAAGCUUUCCUGGUUUUUCAACUCCCAAUCGGGUUCUCAUCUUUGAAUGAACUAACAUCGAUCUGAACUGGUUGAAUAAAUUGAAAAGAAGAAAAUAGUCUAUCUGCACCAGCAGAAGAGGUUACUGCUGGCAAAAAUUGGUUUAGGAUGUCAGCAAGCUCUGGUGUUAGAGGCAUAGCUAGUUAGUUCCAUCAGAUCAGUGCUUCAGUAGGAAA